GCCCGGCUGGCACAAUUGGUCAGCGCGUGAGACUUUUAAUUCUAGAGAUCUCAAGGUUCAGAGUUCGAGCCUCUGGUCGGGCG
rnacentral:tRNA from 1 species